GGCUCAGGAUGAACGCUAGCGGCAGGCUUAAUACAUGCAAGUCGAGGGGCAGCAUGACUGUAGCAAUACAGUUGAUGGCGACCGGCAAACGGGUGCGGAACACGUACAGAACCUUCCUUCGAGCGGGGAAUAGCCCAGAGAAAUUUGGAUUAAUACCCCAUAGUAUAUUAGAGUGGCAUCACUUUGAUAUUAAAGAUUUAUCACUUGAAGAUGGCUGUGCGGCUGAUUAGGUAGUUGGCGGGGUAACGGCCCACCAAGCCUUCGAUCAGUAACUGGUGUGAGAGCACGACCAGUCACACGGGCACUGAGACACGGGCCCGACUCCUACGGGAGGCAGCAGUAAGGAAUAUUGGUCAAUGGACGAAAGUCUGAACCAGCCAUGCCGCGUGGAGGAUGAAGGUCCUCUGGAUUGUAAACUUCUUUUAUAUGGGACGAAAAAAGGGUUUUCUAACUCGUCUGACGGUACCAUAUGAAUAAGCACCGGCUAACUCCGUG
rnacentral:rRNA from 1 species